rnacentral:rRNA from 1 species
CAGUCGCCGCGGUAAUACGAAGGGGGCUAGCGUUGUUCGGAAUUACUGGGCGUAAAGCGCACGUAGGCGGACAUUUAAGUCAGGGGUGAAAUCCCGGGGCUCAACCCCGGAACUGCCUUUGAUACUGGGUGUCUUGAGUGUGGAAGAGGUCAGUGGAAUUGCGAGUGUAGAGGUGAAAUUCGUAGAUAUUCGCAGGAACACCAGUGGCGAAGGCGGCUGACUGGCCCACAACUGACGCUGAGGUGCGAAAGCGUGGGAGCAAACAGGAUUAGAUACCCGAGUGUCCCUGUCUCUUAUACAC